rnacentral:rRNA from 1 species
UACGUAGGGUGCAGGCGUUAAUCGGAAUUACUGGGCGUAAAGCGUGCGCAGGCGGUUUGCUAAGACAGGUGUGAAAUCCCCGGGCUUAACCUGGGAACUGCACUUGAAACUACGAUGCUGGAGUAUGGCAGAGGGGGGGUGGAAUUCCACGUGUAGCAGUGAAAUGCGCAGAUAUCAGGAGGAACACCGGCGGCGAAGGCGGCACUCUGGGC